rnacentral:lncRNA from 1 species
CCGGGGUGACUUUGGGAAACUUCACCCGGGGGCGCGGCUGCUCCCCUCUGCGCCCCGGCCGCGCGGCGCGUGAGCGAGGUUCCCCGCAAACGUGCACUUCGGGCACCCGCACCAGAGGGACUAUCAAGGGAAAAAAGGAAGCAGCAGACAAAACCAGUACCUACUAAAGGAAAUAAUUCAGGUAAGGAAAGUCACUUACCCAGGGUUUGGUGAAACAGAAGACGUCAUACACUAGGAAACUGGGAAGAAGGAUUAUACAGUGAACAUAAUUUGGGGUGAAUGCAAAUAUCUUCAGAGUGUACAAAACCCAAAGGCAUAUAUACAUAUAGUGUGUGUGUGUGUGUGUGUGUGUGUGUGUGUGUGUAAAGCAGAGUUCAAAGUUAACAAAGAAUUGUACUCAAAGAGUACUCAAAUACUGACUGGCUUAAAUAAACCGUGAUAUUCAAGAAAUAGUCUCCUU